UACGUAGGGGGCUAGCGUUGUCCGGAUUUAUUGGGCGUAAAGAGCGUGUAGGCGGCCAGGUAGGUCUGCUGUGAAAACUCGAGGCUCAACCUCGAGAUGUCGGCGGAAACCAUCUGGCUAGAGUCCGGAAGAGGAAAGUGGAAUUCCUGGUGUAGCGGUGAAAUGCGCAGAUAUCAGGAAGAACACCCGUGGCGAAGGCGGCUUUCUGGGCCUUACCUGACGCUGAGGCGCGAAAGCUAGGGGAGCGAACAGG
rnacentral:rRNA from 1 species